rnacentral:rRNA from 1 species
AUGGGAACGCGAAGAACCUUACCUAGACUUGACAUCUUCUGCAUUAAUCGUAAUGGAUGAAAUCCCUUCGGGGACAGAAUGACAGGUGGUGCAUGGUUGUCGUCAGCUCGUGUCGUGAGAUGUUGGGUUAAGUCCCGCAACGAGCGCAACCCCUAUUAUUAGUUGCUAACAUUAAGUUGAGCACUCUAGUGAGACUGCCCGGGUUAACCGGGAGGAAGGUGGGGAGUGACGUCAAAUACAUCAUGCCCCUUACUGUCUAGGGCAACACACGUGCUACAAUGGUGAGUACAGAUAGAUGCGAUACCGCAAGGUGGAGCCAAACUACUAAAACUCAUCCCAGUUCGGAUUGUAGGCUGCAACUCGCCUACAUGAAGUUGGAGUUGCUAGUAAUCGCGAAUCAGAAUGUCGCGGUGAAUACGUUCCCGGGUCUUGUACACACCG